rnacentral:rRNA from 1 species
GCGCAGAUAUCAGGAGGAACACCGAUGGCGAAGGCAGAUCUCUGGGCCGCUACUGACGCUGAGGAGCGAAAGCAUGGGGAGCGAACAGGAUUAGAUACCCUGGUAGUCCAUGCCGUAAACGUUGGGAACUAGAUGUAGGGCCUGUUCCACGGGUCCUGUGUCGUAGCUAACGCAUUAAGUUCCCCGCCUGGGGAGUACGGCCGCAAGGCUAAAACUCAAAGGAAUUGACGGGGGCCCGCACAAGCGGCGGAGCAUGCGGAUUAAUUCGAUGCAACGCGAAGAACCUUACCAAGGCUUGACAUAUAGAAGAACACUGCAGAGAUGCAGGACUCUUUGGACACUUCUAUACAGGUGGUGCAUGGUUGUCGUCAGCUCGUGUCGUGAGAUGUUCGGUUAAGUCCGGCAACGAGCGCGACCCUCGUCCUAUGUUGCCAGCACGUGAUGGUGGGAACUCAUGGGAUACUGCCGUGGUCAACACGGAGGAAGGUGGGGAUGACGUCAAAUCAUCAUGCCCCUUAUGUCUUGGGCUUCACGCAUGCUACAAUGGUCGGUACAAAGGGCUGCGAUACCGUAAGGUGGAGCGAAUCCCAAAAAGCCGGUCUCAAUUCGGAUUGGGGUCUGCAACUCGACCCCAUGAAGUCGGAGUCGCUAGUAAUCGCAGAUCAGCAACGCUGCGGUGAAUACGUUCCCGGGUCUUGUACACACCGCCCGUC